AGGCCGGUUGCUACACAUCCACCAAUGGCAUUUUCCGGCGAGUUAACGUCACACCAGGAAGUGAACGUUCUCGUCUUGUGUGAACGUGUGAAGUCUUCACGGAGAAACUUUCAGAAGCAAUGUCCCAACAAGAAUCUGCCAGUAGGCUAGCCUACCACAUUACACCUCAGCAGGCAAGGGCCACUCCUGGAUAAGGAUUUGAGCCACUGUCACGACUGCCAUCUACACUAUAUUACAC